rnacentral:misc_RNA from 1 species
GAUGAAGAACGCAGCGAAAUGCGAUAAGUAGUGUGAAUUGCAGAAUUCAGUGAAUCAUCGAAUCUUUGAACUCACAUUGCGCCCUUUGGUAUUCCUUAGGGCAUGCCUGUUCGAGCGUCAUUUAAACCUUCAAGCUCAGCUUGGUGUUGGGUGACUGUCCGCUUCACCGCGGACUCGCCUCAAAAUUAUUGGCGGCCGGUACAUUGGCUUCGAGCGCAGCAGAAACGCGAACUCGGGCCCGUCGUAUUGGCUCCCAGAAGCUAUCUUCACAAUUUUGACCUCGGAUCAGGUAGGGAUACCCGCUGAACUUAAGCAUAUCAAUAAGCGGAGGA